rnacentral:misc_RNA from 1 species
GAGGUGACUGUUUCACGAAAACAGGGCCCGCAGUGAGCCGCUGCCAGCUCAGCUCCUCUCCCCGUCUCUGCACACCGCCUCUUUUUUCAAAUAUAUAUAUAUAUUCGGCUUGUGGUAUAAUGCUGCGCUUCCCAAAGCAGGUGCGAGGUGGGCACGGCACAUGCCGCGUCGCGCUCUGCAGCUCAUGUCGCAGUGUCGCACCAACGCCGCGGCGGAUGCAACUGCAGCAUCGUGACCGCAUUAUUGGCUCACAUGGCGCGGGUCUUGUCAAUCAUCAGUCGAUGGCCACAAUGGAGAUUCGCCCCAACUUCACGCGUGUGCAGAACGCCGCGCCGGCAGCAGACCUUUUUCGUACCAAAGUGCACGAAGGCCUCGGCACUAGCGACAAGGACCCGUACCUGCGCACGCUGCCGAACCAAGAGUCCUGUCCACCAGAGAGCUCUGUGCUGCGCGUGGCUGCGGCGACUGCCCCGUCCCUCGAGGAGCGGCAGUGCCUGCACCAGAAGUGGGGCACGCUUCAGUACUGGCUUGGCGACCAGUACCCGCGUCUGCCUCUCUUCCUUGAAGAGCUGCUCGUCUCGGACGCAUUGCCUGUGUCGCCAGCAGCUGAGGCAAUGGUGCAGACGUUUGUAGCCGAGGUGAUCCCAGCCAUGGCGAAGCAGGGCGUCCCUGGCGCGAAGGAGAAGCUAGAGGCGCUAUGGAAGCAGGCGGUUCAAGCUUACGGGAAACUGAACACGUCGCACGUCUUUGACAAGGUAGCCUUCGAGCGCGAGCUCGCCGCGCUGCACGCUAGGUACCAGGCAGACAUGUCUGCGUUGUCGCCGUGCGAGGAUGGCGCCCUGGCGCUCGAGGUGCUUCGUCGGAAGGCCAUUGCGAAGCGGAACGCUUUCCUGCGCGAGGGGCUGCUGCCGAUGGUGCGCAACAGCCCGUACGUGGGCUAUGGAGAUGGCGUGUGGCGCGUCUUUUUCGACAGCGUUGCGGCACACAAGAGGGACCUUUUCUCCUCCUCGAAUUCGCCCGUCAGUGCCACGCUUGGCUUUGCAUGGGAGGCGCUCAUGAUGGAAGAUACGGUGCGUACCCCUCCCAUGACGGCACCCGUCGCUCUCUACCUGCUGCUAGUCUCGAUCUCUGAGAGCCAUAACCGCGCUCCUGCGGAACUGAAGACCGCAUCGACUCAUCUCGACGAGGGCAUCGUGGCGACCGAGCAGCACGUGGUCCCCUCAGCGUUCGCGACGGUUAGCCCGAUUGUGAAGCGCCGCUUCGCUGCAGACGCUCUGAAGGAGCUGCUAGGAGAGGUGAAGGGGUGCGGCCGUCUCGCAAAGGCUCUGCGCUCCGCCAGGCUCCACGACUGGAGUCGCGACGCUGCGCUGUGUGAGGCGAUGCUAGACGACCGACAGCUCUUGCGGGCUGACGUGGAGAACAUGGUGGAUCGUUUUGACAGUACGGCUGAGGUGAAGUCGCUGCUGCAGUCACUGAUGAGUGGGACGGACAUCGCUAUCAAGGCACACGUCAGCCACGUCUUUCAGCUCUCUGGCAUGGCGGGCAAGAGCCAACAGCUGGUGGACUGGGACGCCGCCAUGUCCGCCGUGGACUGGCCACACUGCUGGCGCGAGCAUGCGCGCGAACUGCUUUCCGACCCGGCGACGUUGGAGGCGGUGUACCGCCUGCUCAAGAACGCGACUGGCGCAAAACACGCCACGAAGCGGCUCUUUUCUGACGAGUACGCGGCCGAGGUGGAGGCAGCUCUGCAGCGUCGCAAGGAACGCACGGGGGCACGCAAGGCCAGGACCGAGCAGCUGGUCCGAAACCUCACGUCGUAUGAGCAGGUAGAGAGCACGCUUGCCGUGCUUCGUGAAGCAGGGGUUUCGCUGCUGGAGCUCGAACGUGCCGAGCUAGCCACCGCGGAGCAGCGCACAGUGCGCCGCCCGCAGGUGGACACCGGUGUGCUCGACCUCCUUUUGGAGUCCAUUCGUCAGCGCCAUCCAUCGUGGGCAAAGUCAGGCGUUCUCCCAGCAGUCGCCUCUGCUGCGGCGAAGUCGCCGGUGUGGCACUUGGAGUGCAUGACGCGCAUAUACAUUCGCCUUUCCUACGUCCCGCAGGCGGCAGCGGCUCUAAUGGCGCAGCGCACGCGUCGCCGGCUCGGCCCCGUUGGGACGGAGCCGACGCAGUUUAACGUGCCGACGGAGAUGGGUAUGGUGGAGCAGUACGACAAUUUGCAGUACAAGCGAUACGACUGGCAAGGCUGGUAUCAGCGCAUGGUGGACGUUCACAACCGCAACGUCUCCAUCAAGUGCCGCCUCGACGAUUUGAAGCGGCUGGACGCCUACGGAAACCCAUUUGUGGAGAUGCAGACGGAAAGGCGCCUGCGCAUUCUCGCUGAUCAUCGCGUUGGAAUGGGUGUGCUGAAGCUCGACAGCGACAAGUAUGAGGAUCAGCACGACAACAUAACCUACGGCUCGACGAAGCUGUCUGAACUGCUGGCGGACGCUCGCAAGGCGCAGCUGGGCAAGGAGUACUGGCCCUCGGUCGAGGUGAAGGUGCGCCGUCCGUCUGGGCAGAGCAAGACGUACUACUCCGUUCUCGAUGAUGCCCGCAUCGAGUCAAAGAGCAAGGAACUCUACGCGAAAUACCGCGAGGCCAAGAAACGGAGCCUCUUCGUGACGCCGAUGGACAUUUGGUUGGACGUGAAGGGUAUGCAGGCUCGCAAGGCGGCUGAGACAGCAGAUGCGCAAGGCUACACGGUCGACUCCCUGCAUGACACGAUGGACGACGACAGCAACCGCAAAGGUUGACGCGGAUCUCCCACGAAGCAGACGAGGCGCGGCAGCGUUCGGUUGUAUGUACGAGAGUGCAUGCAUUAUCUUUUUUGUGUAUGUGAGUCCCUCUACACAUGUGCGUGUUGGUGUGCAUUGCACUGCUUGUAACUGUCGAGGGCGGCGAGGACUGAUGGAGGGUGGGUCGCGGAAGGGGAGAGGGGGCUGUGCCGGAUGCGUCGGGAUUCACCGGGAGCUCGCUAGAAAUGAAGAGAGAGCAAGGCACAGGGAGGGAGACGCGUGCAGGGCGUACCUACGCAACGCCCUCGAGAGACAGCGACCACGCGCACGCGGGCGUGUGUGUGUGUGUGUGGUGAAGAGUCGUAGGAAGACUUCAUGCGAAACCGUAAACAAAAAGUGGAGAGAAGCAGCGUGCAGCUAUGUGUGUGUGUGUGCGUCUGUGUCUGUGUUGGAAAGAAUAAGGCGCAUUGCCAGGCUUCCUCGUCUUCCUCCCCUCCGGCAUCGUCCGCCUUCUUUUUUUUUUGCUUGUCGCGUCCGCGAGGAAGCGGAUAAUAUGCAUCGCGGUGUACACGAGAAGGAAUUGCGGUGAGGGUGAAGCGAGUCCUGCAUCUUGCCGCGUCUUUUCAG